AUGAACGCUAGCUACAGGCUUAACACAUGCAAGUCGCGGGGAAACGGCAUCGAAAGCUUGCUUUUGAUGGGCGUCGACCGGCGCACGGGUGAGUAACGCGUAUCCAACCUGCCCAUCACUUGGGAAUAACCUUGCGAAAGUAAGACUAAUGCCCAAUGACAUCCCACGAAGGCAUCCGAAUGGGAUUAAAGAUUUAUCGGUGAUGGAUGGGGAUGCGUCUGAUUAGCUUGUUGGCGGGGUGACGGCCCACCAAGGCAACGAUCAGUAGGGGUUCUGAGAGGAAGGUCCCCCACAUUGGAACUGAGACACGGUCCAAACUCCUACGGGAGGCAGCAGUGAGGAAUAGUGGUCAAUGGGCGAGAGCCUGAACCAGCCAAGUAGCGUGCAGGAUGACGGCCCUAUGGGUUGUAAACUGCUUUUAUAAGGGAAUAAAGUGGGUCACGUGUGACUUUUUGCAUGUACCUUAUGAAUAAGGACCGGCUAAUUCCGUG
rnacentral:rRNA from 1 species